CCCACGCAACGGACUACAGAGCCAAUUAGGCUGGGGUGGAGGAGCGCUAACAAGAGGGACUGGAGUUUCUAACCAAACCUGUAGCGCCUGGAGCCAACUUGAGGUAGAUCUUCGCAUACUGGUUUUGGCGCUGUCUCACCAAGGAGCUUCCGAUAACUGCCAGUCACAUGGUGACAGUUAUGCUUGAUUAAGCAGAUCCACCUCCACAACUUCAAAGAAUGCAUACAAACUCCCAGGCCAAAGGAUGAAAUCAAUUCUGCGGGUGUCAAAUUAGUGAUGCAUGUGAAAACUCUUUGAACAGGAUGAGGAUCUAUGCAAACUCAAGACAGCAUUUUCUCCAGUAAGUCUUUGGUGUGUCUAUUCCCUUCUUGGGGGUCUACUUCUCAGAGGACUGGAAUGAACACAUCAUAGUAAGGGAAUGCAUUUUGGUACUGUAAAAUUUUAACCAAGGGAGUGAUGUGUUCUGAAUCUGACUUUUCAAAGAUCUUUCUGGCUUUCAUGUGGAGAAUCGCUUUUAUGGAAGAAAGAGUGGAAGAAAGGAAACCAAUUAGGUAAUCUAGGCAAGAGAGUUUGUUUAUUUAGUCUAAAGCAGGAAUAAUUUACAUGGAGAAGUUAAGGGUUUUAGAUAGUACUUUGGAGUUAGUACCAAGAGGAUAUGCUGAUGAAUUGUGUGAAAAGUGAGAAAAAGAAGGAAUUUUGAGUGAUUUGUAGGCUUUCUUCUCUCUCUGUCUCUGUCUCUCUCUCCCCCCUCUCCUUUCUUUCCAGCAUCUACAGUUAUGCACAGUGUUGUCUAUUUCUACUUGGAAGACUGGACAAGAAACAAACUUUCUGGUAGAGCUUAGAGAAUCAAUAAUUCCAUUUUAGAUAUAUUAGGUUCCAGUUAUCUAUUAUGCAUCUAAGUGAUAAUAUCCAAAUAAGCAGUUGGUUGUAUAAGUAUAACAGAUAAGUAAAGAGAUCAUAUGGGACUUCCCUGGUGGUGCAGUGGUUAGGAAUCUGCCUGGCAGUGCAGGGGACACAGGUUCGAGCCCUGGUCUGGGAAGAUCCCA